AGCUGUUCUGUCGCUUCCUUUAGGCUUGAGAUCAUGAUCAUAUUGACUCUAUUCAUGAGCAUGCUGCUGGCACGCUGCCAGGAAGGAGUCAACUGGAACCCAUUAUAUGACGCAGGGCUACUUCCAGCGGGGCUCCGUUGGACCCUGAAGAGCCCUGACUACCCAUAUCCUCACUGA
rnacentral:lncRNA from 11 species